UUCACUGUUAAGUUCGGGAUCCUGACUUUACUGUUUGCCAGGCCUGUGUUCCUCAAGAUCACAACUAGAGCCUGCUGACUACAGCCCAAGCUGCCUCCACUGAGCUCAUCUCCAUUUACUCCUGUGCUGCACCAAUGUGGAUCACACUGAGAAUGCAGGGGAAUUACCUGUUUUCCCAUGUGUUUCAAGGAUGAUGCAUGCUGAGGCAGGUUCAUACCCUGUUCUUGUCGUGUCAAGUUGCAGCUUCUGCUGAUGGUUAUAGCCUCCUUAUCUUCUUGUUUGUGCUUCUGCUGCACCUGGUAGAGCAUGGGAAACUAAAAAUGCCCUGGACUCAAGAUAGACAUUACUUAGCAACAGCCAAAAUGUAAGUAUGUUGCCAAUUUCCUUAUACU